rnacentral:rRNA from 1 species
UACGUAGGGUGCAAGCGUUGUCCGGAAUUAUUGGGCGGAAAGAGCUCGUAGGCGGCUUGUCACGUCGGGUGUGAAAGCCCGGGGCUUAACCCCGGGUCUGCAUUCGAUACGGGCUAGCUAGAGUGUGGUAGGGGAGAUCGGAAUUCCUGGUGUAGCGGUGAAAUGCGCAGAUAUCAGGAGGAACACCGGUGGCGAAGGCGGAUCUCUGGGCCAUUACUGACGCUGAGGAGCGAAAGCGUGGGGAGCGAACAGG